AUUGAACGCUGGCGGCAUGCCUUACACAUGCAAGUCGAACGGCAGCACGGGGGCAACCCUGGUGGCGAGUGGCGAACGGGUGAGUAAUGCAUCGGAAUGUACCCAGUAGUGGGGGAUAACUAGUCGAAAGAUUAGCUAAUACCGCAUACGCACUACGGUGGAAAGCGGGGGAUCGCAAGACCUCGCGCUAUUGGAGCAGCCGAUGUCCGAUUAGGUAGUUGGUGGGGUAAAAGCCUACCAAGCCUGCGAUCGGUACCUGGUCUGAGAGGACGUCCAGGCACACUGGGACUGAGACACGGCCCAGACUCCUACGGGAGGCAGCAGUGGGGAAUUUUGGACAAUGGGGGAAACCCUGAUCCAGCAAUGCCGCGCGUGUGACGAAGGCCUUCGGGUUGUAAAGCACUUUUGGCGGGAACGAAACGGCGCUUUCUAAUACAGAGUGCUAAUGACGGUACCCGCAGAAUAAGCACCGGCUAACUACGUGCCAGCCGCCGCAGUAA
rnacentral:rRNA from 1 species